UGUAGAGGAAAGUGGCGGACGGGUGAGUAACGCGUGAGGAACCUGCCUUGAAGAGGGGGACAACAGUUGGAAACGACUGCUAAUACCGCAUAACGCAUAGGGGUCGCAUGAUCUUUAUGCCAAAGAUUUAUUGCUUCAAGAUGGCCUCGCGUCUGAUUAGCUAGUUGGCGGGGUAACGGCCCACCAAGGCGACGAUCAGUAGCCGGACUGAGAGGUUGAACGGCCACAUUGGGACUGAGAUACGGCCCAGACUCCUACGGGGGGCAGCAGUGGGGAAUAUUGGGCAAUGGGCGCAAGCCUGACCCAGCAACGCCGCGUGAAGGAAGAAGGCUUUCGGGUUGUAAACUUCUUUUAAGAGGGAAGAGUAGAAGACGGUACCUCUAGAAUAAGCCACGGCUAACUACGUGCCAGCAGCCGCGGUAAUACGUAGGUGGCAAGCGUUGUCCGGAUUUACUGGGUGUAAAGGGCGUGCAGCCGGGUCUGCAAGUCAGAUGUGAAAUCCAUGGGCUCAACCCAUGAACUGCAUUUGAAACUGUAGAUCUUGAGUGUCGGAGGGGCAAUCGGAAUUCCUAGUGUAGCGGUGAAAUGCGUAGAUAUUAGGAGGAACACCAGUGGCGAAGGCGGAUUGCUGGACGAUAACUGACGGUGAGGCGCGAAAGUGUGGGGAGCAAACAGGAUUAGAUACCCUGGUAGUCCACACUGUAA
rnacentral:rRNA from 1 species